rnacentral:rRNA from 1 species
CUCAAAUUUGAAAUCUGGCGUCCUCAGGGCGUCCGAGUUGUAAUCUAUAGAGGCGUUUUCCGCGCCGGACCGUGUAUAAGUCUCCUGGAACGGAGUAUCAAAGAGGGUGACAAUCCCGUGCUUUACACGACGACCGGUGCUAUGUGAUACGUCUUCUACGAGUCGAGUUGUUUGGGAAUGCAGCUCAAAACGGGUGGUAAACUCCAUCUAAAGCUAAAUAUUGGUGGGAGACCGAUAGCGAACAAGUACCGUGAGGGAAAGAUGAAAAGCACUUUGGAAAGAGAGUUAAACAGUAUGUGAAAUUGUUGAAAGGGAAACGAUUGAAGUCAGUCGUGUCCAUUGGGUUCAGCCGGUCCUGCCGGUCUACUCCCUUUGGACGGGUCAACAUCAGUUCUGACCGGUGGAUAAUGGCACGAGGAACGUAGCACCCUCCGGGGUGUGUUAUAGCCUCGCGUCGCAUACACUGGUCGGGACUGAGGAACGCAGCUCGCCCUCACGGGCCGGGGUUCGCCCACGUCCGAGCUUAGGAUGUUGACAUAAUGGCUUUAAAC